rnacentral:rRNA from 1 species
UACGUAGGAGGCAAGCGUUGUCCGGAAUCAUUGGGCGUAAAGCGCGUGUAGGCGGCCCGGUAAGUCCGCUGUGAAAGUCGGGGGCUCAACCCUCGGAUGCCGGUGGAUACUGUCGGGCUCGAGUACGGAAGAGGCGAGUGGAAUUCCUGGUGUAGCGGUGAAAUGCGCAGAUAUCAGGAGGAACACCAAUUGCGAAGGCAGCUCGCUGGGACGUUACUGACGCUGAGACGCGAAAGCGUGGGGAGCAAACAGG